GGCUGGCCAGCAGGGGCCGGGCCAUGAGGCUUGUGUUCUUGGGGUCAGUCACAUCUCACUUCGGAGAAGACUUGUGUGCUCUUAACUGAGUGUGCAAGGCCAAUCUCCUCCGAUCGUUUACUUUGAAAAAAUUAGAGUGUUCAAAGCAGGCGUUUCGCUUGAAUAACACAGCAUGGAAUAAUGAAACAGGACUUUGGUCGUGUUUUGUUGGUUUUAAUGACUGAAGUA
rnacentral:rRNA from 1 species